UGCGUAGGUGGUGAGGUAAGUCGGAUGUGAAAGCUCGGAGCUCAACUCCGAAAUGGCAUUGGAAACUACCUUGCUAGAGGGUUGGAGGGGGGACUGGAAUGCUUGGUGUAGCAGUGAAAUGCGUAGAUAUCAAGCGGAACACCAGUGGCGAAGGCGAGUCCCUGGACAACUCCUGACACUGAGGCACGAAAGCUAGGGGAGCAAACA
rnacentral:rRNA from 1 species